GAUGAACGCUGGCGGCGUGCCUAAUACAUGCAAGUCGAGCGAAUGGAUUAAGAGCUUGCUCUUAUGAAGUUAGCGGCGGACGGGUGAGUAACACGUGGGUAACCUGCCCAUAAGACUGGGAUAACUCCGGGAAACCGGGGCUAAUACCGGAUAACAUUUUGAACCGCAUGGUUCGAAAUUGAAAGGCGGCUUCGGCUGUCACUUAUGGAUGGACCCGCGUCGCAUUAGCUAGUUGGUGAGGUAACGGCUCACCAAGGCAACGAUGCGUAGCCGACCUGAGAGGGCGAGCGGCCAGACUGGGACGGAGACACGGCCCAGACUCCUACGGGAGGCAGCAGUAGGGAAUCUUCCGCAAUGGACGAAAGUCUGACGGAGCAACGCCGCGUGAGUGAUGAAGGCUUUCGGGUCGUAAAACUCUGUUGUUAGGGAAGAACAAGUGCUAGUUGAAUAAGCUGGCACCUUGACGGUACCUAACCAGAAAGCCACGGCUAACUACGUGCCAGCCGCCGCGGUAA
rnacentral:rRNA from 1 species